rnacentral:rRNA from 1 species
UACGGGGGGGGCAAGCGUUGUUCGGAAUUACUGGGCGUAAAGGGCUCGUAGGCGGCCAACUAAGUCGGAUGUGAAAUCCCCAGGCUCAACCUGGGAACUGCAUCCGAUACUGGAUGGCUUGAAUUCGGGAGAGGGAUGCAGAAUUCCAGGUGUAGCGGUGAAAUGCGUCAGAUAUCAGGAGGAACACCGGUGGCGAAGGCGGGUCUCUGGGC